rnacentral:rRNA from 1 species
UACGUAGGGUGCAAGCGUUGUCCGGAAUUAUUGGGCGUAAAGAGCUCGUAGGCGGUUUGUCGCGUCUGCUGUGAAAUCCCGAGGCUCAACCUCGGGUCUGCAGUCGAUACGAGCAGACUAGAGUGUUGCAGGGGAGACUGGAAUUCCUGGUGUAGCGGUGAAAUGCGCAGAUAUCAGGAGGAACACCGGUGGCGAAGGCGGGUCUCUGGGCAGCAACUGACGCUGAGGAGCGAAAGCGUGGGGAGCGAACAGG